UACGUAGGGUGCGAGCGUUGUCCGGAAUUAUUGGGCGUAAAGGGCUCGUAGGCGGUUUGUCGCGUCGGGAGUGAAAACACUGGGCUUAACCCAGUGCUUGCUUUCGAUACGGGCAGACUAGAGGUAUGCAGGGGAGAACGGAAUUCCUGGUGUAGCGGUGAAAUGCGCAGAUAUCAGGAGGAACACCGGUGGCGAAGGCGGUGGUCUGGGCCGGAACUGACGCUGAGGAGCGAAAGCGUGGGGAGCGAACAGG
rnacentral:rRNA from 1 species